CUACGGGGCGCUGCAGUGAGGAAUAUUGCACAAUGGGGGGAACCCUGAUGCAGCAACGCCGCGUGGAGGAUGACGCAUUUCGGUGUGUAAACUCCUUUUAUAUGUCAAGAAAAUGACGGUAGCAUAUGAAUAAGCACCGGCUAACUCCGUGCCAGCAGCCGCGGUAAUACGGAGGGUGCAAGCGUUACUCGGAAUCACUGGGCGUAAAGGACGCGUAGGCGGGUUGGAAAGUCAGGUGGGAAAUCCUACAGCUUGACUGUAGAACUGCACUUGAAACUUCUAAUCUAGAGUAUGGGAGGGGGAGAUGGAAUUAGUGGUGUAGGGGUAAAAUCCGUAGAUAUCACUAGGAAUACCUAAAGCGAAGGCGAUCUCCUGGAACAUUACUGACGCUAAGGCGUGAAAGCGUGGGGAGCAAACAGGAUUAGAUACCCCAGUAGUC
rnacentral:rRNA from 1 species